rnacentral:rRNA from 1 species
UACGUAGGGCGCAAGCGUUAUCCGGAAUUAUUGGGCGUAAAGAGCUCGUAGGCGGUUUGUCGCGUCUGCCGUGAAAGUCCGGGGCUCAACUCCGGAUCUGCGGUGGGUACGGGCAGACUAGAGUGCGGUAGGGGAGACUGGAAUUCCUGGUGUAGCGGUGAAAUGCGCAGAUAUCAGGAGGAACACCGGUGGCGAAGGCGGGUCUCUGGGCAACAACUGACGCUGAGGAGCGAAAGCGUGGGGAGCGAACAGG